CGUUUUUUGUGUGCAUGGUAGUCAAUAUGGUUAUUAUCCACCAACAUCAUUCUAUUGCUUCGUGAUUCUGAAGUUAUCAUCAACCAUCUUAUCUGGACGGUAACUACUCGCUUGCUGAAAGAGACCAUGAAGGCUGUGGUGAUUGUAGAAAGGAGCGCCGCUCUUCUUCUUGCUUGCAUUGAAAAUCUGGUCCAUGGGGGUGUCAUUUUUGGCUGGCCCUCACUCGUGUUCAUUCUUAUACAGCUCGGCUAUUUCAGUGACCUGUGCAACAACACCAGCGAAAACCGUACUCUCUCGCCUCUGAACAUUAGCAUGACCAUUGACGGUGACAGCUCAGAGAGAGCAUCAUAUAACCAGACAUGUCUCGAGCAGGACAGCCGCCUGCAGCUUGUCUACUCCAUGGCAGUGGCUUCACA